rfam:Mogibacterium pumilum strain ATCC 700696 genome.
UGUAUUGUGAGGUGCAGGCGAGAAGAAGGGAUAGCAAAAUCGUAGCCUGACGAACAGGAAGCUAAUACCAAGGCGCAUACGGCGGAUAAGUGGACAGCAAGUAGCGAAGACGGAAGUACAAACCGAGUCAUGUACACUAUUACAGGGUGGAUUGAACGUAAAUGGC